rnacentral:lncRNA from 1 species
GGGAGGCAGAGAAGACAGGAGAGAUGGAGGCUUGCAGGACCUGGUGGUUGGGGAGGGCCAGUGACCAGGUGUUUAGAAGCAGCACCUCCUGUGAUUGGGGCUGAGGGUGAACUCUGCUUUCAAGCAGAGGUGGUUUGUCGUGGGUCUUCCAUGAUGACACCAGGUCAAGAGCCUCCAGAUGCUCAGAGUCUUGCAGGCUCAGAACAAGAAUUGUCAACUUGCCAAGAUGAAUCUGUCUCUCGGGGGAGGACCCACACAGAACAAACGUUUGAAGCAGAAGUUUGCUUGGUAAACAUGGAAUCGGAACAUGGGAAUUGGGCCACUGGGAUAUUCAAUUGCGUCAGACCAUUGUAGCUGAUACUCCUGGACAGAGGGGCUUUGCCAACUGGACAGAUAUAUGAAGUGUUGCUGACCGAGCUCCUUGCUCUGUGUGGGAGGGAUCUUGCCAGCUCCAGCCUUGGUGGGUCUCCUUUUUCUGUUUCCAAGCUUAAAUAAGCACUUGGCUGUUCUGAUUAGCACUUUUAAAAGCUGUGUUAAUAAGUUCAAUUAAAAUAGAAGAAUCUCUCAUUCUGUCAUAUCGGGUUUU